CCUUAAAUGUGGCUCAUGUAUGUGCGCGAAGCGCGGCGAUUUAGGUUGAAGUGGAUUUUGGAUUGAAGUGGGGUUCGAUAAAAAUUACUUUUUUUCGCUAUUUGUUUCUUAGUUAUGGAAGUGAGGUUUUAUUUAUUCUGUUGUUUGUUUGGUAGAAAGUGUAGGAUGUAAAACUAAAUUUAUAUAUAAAUAAUAAAUAUUUAAAUAAAUAAAAAUAAUAUAAUUAUAUUUUUUAUAUAAUUAAAAUUUAAUUUAAAAUAACUAAAUCAUUUUUUACACAUAAAUUAUAGCAAUACAACAAUAAAAUUAUAAAAUAAAAAUAUUAAUAUUUAAUUAAUUAAUUUUUAUCGUGUUUUACUUGUAUAAACUAAAUAAAAAAAAUGUUAAAACUUAACUAAUUAAUUUUUAUCAUAUUUUAAAUAUGUCAACGGAAUAAAAGAGCAAUUAGUAACAUAAUUAAAUAUAUUUAAAUAUAACUAUCCUUAUCUAGUAGAUUAUUUUAUUUUUUUUUUUUACCUCUCUUCACUGUAAUUGACUUCGGCCCACGAUAAACAGAAGUCAAUUACGUCGUUUGAGGUUAACUCAAGUUUCAAUCGUAACUUUUUUUACAGUGAACUAAACAACGAAAGUGAUCGUUUAGAACGAAAAUGACUUCCCUCCUCUCCACUUCCACCCCACUUCUACCCAAACAAACAUGCCG
rnacentral:lncRNA from 1 species